UUUAUCCUCCCCUUGGAAACAGCGGUGAAGUGGGGCAGAGAGAUCGCAAACUCUGUGCCGAGUUCCAAGUGCGGGUGUUGUGACGUAUAUCAUAUGCGUCGAGAGCAGCGAAGAGCUGUAGUUCACAAAGCGGCCUCACAUAAAACCUAAAAUUAUCAAUCUUCUUCACGAAAAUGUUUAGUUUUCUUUGCAUGAAAAAUUAUCAGUCAAAUCCACAAACAACAUAUGUGUAAUCCAGGUCAUAUAAAGACUGGGACCAGAAAAUAAUUAUUUUCUCUCCAUUGACACCCAUUCAUAUUUUUCGAUCUCAUAGGUCCCAUGAGCUCUACCGGAAGAGGCGUGACUUCGCCACUCUAUUGAUCUGAUGGGAGACCUCAUCAGUGAACAGCCUGCCCAGGAUGUUCCAGGUCACCCUCUUCACAUCCUGGCCUCCAAUGGUGGCCAAAGAUGAAAUCUAAAAGGCAAAGACAUCUUUUUUAAAUAGACAGGGGAAACUGAAUGCGGUCUGGCAUCUCCGCAUCUGGCCCCGGGGUGCUGUUCAUCCUACUGGGUUAUUACUCACCAGAGCAGGGAAUGGUAUCAGCCAUUCUUCCCCCUCGCCAUGUUGGUCUGUAGGCCAGGCUUGAAGAUGACUCCAUGUUGAGGGCUGGUGCCGGGGGUGGAGGGAGUUGAGGAGGGACUGCCGUUCCUGGCCCAUAGUGAGGUUGAGGAGCAGCGAAUCUACUGCCUGGCACUCGGCGAGAUGGUGGAGCUGGAGGAAUGGAUACACGUGCUUUUAUAGCUGGGCCAGUACGCCAUCCCGUCAUCGUACCAUUCAUUUGGGACAACAGCAAUGUCCCCGUUUAUUAGGAAUUUGAUGAGAUGAAAAGGCAUCCUUAAUGCAGAAAGAAAGAAAAGGGGUAUUUAUUCAUCGUCAAAGAAAUAAAAAAAUAAAGCAUGCACAAGUGUACAGUGUUUACAAAUAAGCAAGUAAAGUAAAAAAAAAAAAAGAA
ensembl:lncRNA